GGUCAGUGAUGACAAGAGAAAAGACUGAUUGCACUGGUGAACUACACACCCAUUACUUCCUGAGCUCCCAGCAGUUUUUUCACGUCUUUUCUACAUCCAUGCUCCAGUAAUGCUGUGAUGUAUUUUGAGUCUGCUGACAUUAUGCGGAUAAAGUUGGUGCUUGUUACCUGCAGUGUGAGGUUCUUGGCACUGACUGCUAUCCAAUAAAGCUAGUUAAGGAGCUAUUGGUUCUGGGAUGUGUCUUUUAAUGUGCAUGAUCUUUAGUUUUCAAGCUGAGACC